UACGGGGGGAGCAAGCGUUGUUCGGAUUUACUGGGCGUAAAGGGCGCGUAGGCGGCCACCGCAAGUCGACUGUGAAAUCUCCGGGCUUAACCCGGAAAGGUCAGCCGAUACUGCGGGGCUAGAGUGCAGAAGGGGCAACUGGAAUUCUCGGUGUAACGGUGAAAUGCGUAGAUAUCGAGAGGAACACCUGCGGCGAAGGCGGGUUGCUGGGCUGACACUGACGCUGAUGCGCGAAAGCUAGGGGAGCGAACGGG
rnacentral:rRNA from 1 species